AACUGAAUAAUACCCCGAGUCAAAGCUCCUACAGAGAAAAAUAAUUCUCAAUGGAGCACGACCAUUGGGUGUCUUUGGAAACGAAGGUGCCUCCCGUCUGGAAAGGGGAAAGGAGAUCGCGGGC
rfam:Synergistes sp. 3_1_syn1 genomic scaffold supercont1.2, whole genome shotgun sequence.